GGGGAAAAGCAUCGUCAUCCCUAACCUCGAGGAAGACAUCACGACUUAUGUGAAAGGGUAUCUAAGUGUUUACACUUAUCCCAUCACAUUUGGCCCUCUCAACUCGGUGGUCGUAGAGUUUUGCAAGAGGCACGACCUUUGCCUCGGUCAAAUUCACCCUUCCUUUUGGAGAAUUGUAACACUCCUCCUUUAUUUUACGGACAAUAAGAAGGAGCCCUUCACAUUAGAGCACCCCCUCUGGUUGCACAAUCCUCGAGUUUUCCGGGGUAGUUUGAUCAAGUUUGCCCCACGAGCGAAGAAAGCUCCUUUUUCGAGUAUUGACGAGGAUGGCUAAGCAGUUUCUUCCGAGUGAGAACCGAGGACCUCAUCCCCUCCAAUCAGCUUCCGUUUCCCGAGAAGUGGAACCCAAAGCCCACUCCUCAAGUCCUUAAUGCAGUUCCAAAGUACAAACUUUGGGUUGAGAAUAUAUGUAUCCAGCUCUUUUAUGCCGAGCACAGGUGGUAGUUACUUUCAAAAGACAGAUGGGAGGCUCUACAUCACGGUGAGUACCUCAGGCCAAUAUACCCCUUACCUCUUUGCUCAAUUUGUCGGUUAUUAACUGGUCUCUCCAUUCUUUGUCUUGUAAGCUUAUCAAACAUCACCAUACUUCGAAAAAGCAUCGAUGCUGAUGUGUCGGGCUUGCCUUUUGAGGAUAAAGCCCCAACAAAGGAGGAAAAACCCACAGAGAAGAAAAAAUGGUCUCCCGACCCUUCCGAUGAUCCUGCUGAGGGUAAGAAGAAAAGAAAGAUGGUGAGCAAGGUCAAAAGGGGCAUCUCCCAAAAGACCGCUGAGGCCCAGGUCUUGGGUUUUGAUACCCCUGGUAGGCUCAAAGACUAUUCUGAGGACGAGGAUGUCAUGUUAUCCUCAGUAGUCCAGCCCCUGAGAUCGGAAGGCGUCGGCCCGGACCUCCAAGAUUUGGAAAACACCAACCAAGAGCUGAAAAGCUCAAAGAAUACAGCUCCCUCGUCAGUAGUUCCGAAAACCACUGACCAAACGAAGGGAGUCUCUGAGGAUACUGCUGCUACUGCUGCUUCGGAGGGAGCUUUUCCUACCCCAGCCCAAUCUCCUUACAAGGAUGACUUAUUGCACCUGGACAGGGAUGUAUCUAUAUUAGCUGAGGCCACCACACACACACCGGAGUCAUCGCCUCGACGAACACCUGCCCAUUCUGAGGGCGUUGGUGCAGAAGAGAAACCGACGGAUCCAUCUCCGUCCUUCGACCAAAUCAUUAAUCUCCUGUUUGGAGAUAGGAAAACCAGCGUGGUAGAGUACUACUUCGGGUUUGAACGCCUGACAGUUCCUAGAAAGACCGCCCCAUUUGGGGUCAUCUCUGGACCCCCGAUAGAGAAGCCGUUCCCUGCCCCGAGCACAGAUCCAAAAUAUAUGAGAAGGUUACGUUUUUGGUGCCGGCAGAUGUGAACAUGUUGUUCGAUUUAGUCGGAGUGGCCAGCUAUUUGCGCGCUUUGGUGACCGAGGAGGACCUGCAAAAAAUAAACUAGGUCGAUGAAUCGUGCCUCUUUAACGAGGCCUAACAGGCUAUGAACUGGGCCUCCGUACUUCAUCACGAAAGCUUUCUUCAAUAAGGAUGGAGGUGGACCGUCUCGGGGAUAGGCUCCGAGAGCAGACCCAACAGACAGAGUCAUACAAACGAAUCUACGAACAACCAGAGGAGUACAUCAGGAGUAUGCCCGACCCCUCCACCCUACAAUCAGAUUUGGAGAAAACCCGAGAAGAACGGGACCUCUUGGCCGAGAAGGCCCGGGAGAAAGUCACCCAAAUCGAGCAACUCCGGUCCGAGUUUGAUGAACUCAAGGCUGAGCUCGGAGCCUUCAAGAGCAAGACGGAUGGCCUGCCUUCAGAGAGGGACUCCCUUAAGUAGGGUUUAGCGUCGCUCAAGCAGAAGCUCCAGGUAGUAGUGGAUAAGGCCGAUAAAUGGUCUCAGCUCAAUGGAGAACUCCGGGAGAAGCUUACCUCGACUGAGUCGGAGCGUGACACUCUUGUCCAUGAGAAUACCGAGUUGAAGCUCAAACCCGAUGAAGCCUUGGAAUAACUCUCUGAUGUUGAUGACAUGUUGACUCAAUACAAGGCCGAUGUCGCAGCGACAGAACGCCGGAGUAGUAACAGAGCCGAAUAUAUGCGGUGUUUAUCCCGAAGGGAAGCACCGGAGGAGGUCCAAUCCCAGGGAGUAGACGUAGCGGCCGAGCUCGUAGUGUCCAGGAGGCUCGAGGCGGAGUCAAAGGCCAAUCACAGCCCGAAGGGUCGAACAGUGAUGCUGGUUCAGAUUGAGGUUCCGGUGGCUCUGAUGAAGAAUAGGCUUAGAAGCCUUAGAUUGUUUUUUCUUUAUGUAAUUUUCUUUUUGAGUUUGAGGUCAUUA